CCUACGGGUGGCAGCAGUAGGGAAUAUUGCACAAUGGGGGAAACCCUGAAGCAGCAACGCCGCGUGGAGGAUGAAGGAUUUAGGAGUGUAAAGUCCUUUCGGCAGAGAAGAAAAUGACGGUAUCUAACGAAUAAGCACCGGCUAACUCCGUGCCAGCAGCCGCGGUAAUACGGAGGGUGCAAGCGUUAUCCGGAAUCACUGGGCGUAAAGAGAGCGUAGGCGGGAUUAUAAGUCAGAAGUGAAAUCCUGUGGCUUAACUAUAGAACUGCAUUUGAAACUGUUACUCUGGAGUGUGGGAGAGGUAGGUGGAAUUCUUGGUGUAGCGGUGAAAUCCGUAGAGAUCAGGAGGAAUACUCGUUGCGAAGGCGACCUGCUGGAAUAUUACUGACGCUGAUGCACGAAAGCGUGGGGAGCAAACAGGAUUAGAUACCCCUGUAGUC
rnacentral:rRNA from 1 species